GAUUUCUGACCUGAAACAUUUUGCCGGCCACGGUUUCGUGUGUUAGUGCUUGAUGUUCUGGUCAUCCUUCCAAUCGCUACUGACUAUUCUUCAUUGAUUGGUUAGUGGUAUUGGAUCUUUUACUUUGAGAAAAUUAGAGUGUUUCAAGCAGGCUUUAUGCUAUGAAUACAUUAGCAUGGAAUAAUAAUUUAGGACUUCGGUUCUAUUUUGUUGGUUUCUAGGACUGAAGUAAUGAUUGAUAGGGAUAGUUGGGGGUGCUAGUAUUCAGCGGCCAGAGGUGAAAUUCUCGGAUUCGCUGAAGACUAACUUAUGCGAAAGCAUU
rnacentral:rRNA from 1 species